rnacentral:rRNA from 1 species
GGCAGCAUGGAGAGCUUGCUCUCUGAUGGCGAGUGGCGAACGGGUGAGUAAUAUAUCGGAACGUGCCCAGUAAUGGGGAACAACUAAUUGAAAGAUUAGCUAAUACCGCAUACGCCCCACGGGGGAAAGGCCGGGAUCUUCGGACCUUGCGUUACUAGAGCGGCCGAUAUCUGAUUAGGUAGUUGGUAGGGUAAAGGCCUACCAAGCCGACGAUCAGUAGCUGGUCUGAGAGGACGAUCAGCCACACUGGAACUGAGACACGGUCCAGACUCC